AGAGUUUGAUCAUGGCUCAGAACGAACGUUGGCGGCAUGGAUGAGGCAUGCAAGUCGCGGGAAUCCCAGCAAUGGGGGAACCGGCGUAAGGGGCAGUAAGGCGUGGGUACCCACCCCCGGGUCCGGGAUAGCCCGCCGAGAGGCGGGGUAAUACCGGAUGACCUCGGGAGAGCAAAGCUCCGGCGCCCGGGGCGGGGCCCACGUGAUAUUAGCUAGUUGGCGGGGUGACGGCCCACCAAGGCGGAGAUGUCUAGCGGGUGUGAGAGCACGACCCGCGCCACUCGCACUGAGACACUGGCGAGACACCUACGGGUGGCUGCAGUCGAGGAUCUUCGGCAAUGGGGGCAACCCCGACCGAGCGAUGCCGCGUGGGCGACGAAGGCCUUCGGGUUGUAAAGCCCUGUCGAGGGGGAGAAAGCCGCAAGGCGGAUCCAUCCCUGGAGGAAGCUCGGGCUAAGUUCGUGCCAGCAGCCGCGGUAAGAUGAACCGAGCGAACGUUGUUCGGAAUCACUGGGCUUAAAGGGCGCGUAGGCGGGCUGCCGCGUCCGGGGUGAAAUCCUCCGGCUCAACCGGAGAACGGCCCCGGGUACGGGCGGCCUCGAGGGGGGUAGGGGCGGGCGGAACUGUGGGUGGAGCGGUGAAAUGCGUUGAGAUCCACAGGAACUCCGGUGGCGAAGGCGGCCCGCUGGACCCCAUCUGACGCUGAGGAGCGAAAGCGUGGGUAGCGAACAGGAUUAGAUACCCCGGUAGUCCAA
rnacentral:rRNA from 1 species